GUUAUACCCAAAUACCCAAAUCGUUGAUCACAAUCGUGCCACUACCGAUUCAUCCAUGUCUUCCACUGCUGUAUAAGUGACAUUGAAAGAGUUUGACUCUAUCAAAGUUCAAACACUGAGAUGCAAAGGAGGAGACCACGAAUCAAUUUGUGUUUGUUUUGGAAAAGGUUUAAAACAGAACAGCAGCUAAAAUGCCAAAGCUCCAGAGUUUAAACUCAAGGGGAAACGUUCUAGACGGUUAGAGAGGUACAGUUAAAGAGUUUGGAAGACAGGUUGUGCUAUUUAGACUUUUGUUGUGCCUACAACAGCUCAGCUGGAAUUUCAAAUGAGCUAUCAUCUGUUGCAAAUGAUGAAUCCGACUUUGUAGACACAUUUGAGGAGCUUAUGUAAAAUAGUUGGUCACCACUACAAGCCUAAACCAUUUGUCAAGCCUAACCAUGUUUGCAAUAUGUACAUAAACACCUACUAUGGAUAGCAUAUCUUGUUAAACAGCGACAAGCG